CACGACUACAUUAGAUACCCGUGUAGUCCCAGCCCUAAACGAUGCGCGUUAGGUGUAUCGGUGACCACGAGUCACCGAGGUGCCGAAGGGAAACCGUGAAACGUGCCGCCUGGGAAGUACGGUCGCAAGGCUGAAACUUAAAGGAAUUGGCGGGGGAGCACAACAACGGGUGGAGCUUGCGGUUUAAUUGGAUUCAACGCCGGAAACCUUACCGGGACCGACAGCAACAUGAAGGCCAAGCUGAAGACUUUGCCGGAUUAGCUG
rnacentral:rRNA from 1 species